UACAGAGGGUGCUAGCGUUGUUCGGAAUCAUUGGGCGUAAAGGGCGUGUAGGCGGUUUGUUAAGUCAUGUGUGAAAUCCCCUCGGCUCAACCGGGGAACGACGCAUGAAACUGGCAAGCUAGAGUACCAAAGAGGGGGGUGGAAUUCCCGGUGUAGCGGUGAAAUGCGUAGAUAUCGGAAGGAACGCCGGUGGCGAAAGCGGCGGACUGGACCUCUUCUGACGCUGAGGCGCGAAAGCCAGGGGAGCAAACGGG
rnacentral:rRNA from 1 species